UGUAUUAAACUCUUCAAUUAAAAGUAGGGAGAGGCAGAAUGGAUUUAGAAUAAAAGACUAUAUAAAUAUUAUCUCUUCUAAUUCAUCCAU